rnacentral:rRNA from 1 species
GUAACUUUGGGGCUGGUCCUUGUCUAUGUUCCUUGGAACAGGACGUCAUAGAGGGUGAGAAUCCCGUGUGGCGAGGAUCCCAGCUUCUAUGUAAAGUGCUUUCGAAGAGUCGAGUUGUUUGGGAAUGCAGCUCUAAGUGGGUGGUAAAUUCCAUCUAAAGCUAAAUAUUGGCGAGAGACCGAUAGCGAACAAGUACAGUGAUGGAAAGAUGAAAAGAACUUUGAAAAGAGAGUGAAAAAGUACGUGAAAUUGUUGAAAGGGAAGGGCAUUUGAUCAGACAUGGUGUUUUGCGCCCUCUGCUCCUCGUGGGUGGGGGAAUCUCGCAGCUCACUGGGCCAGCAUCAGUUUUGGCGGUAGGAUAAAUCUGCAGGAAUGUAGCUUGCUUCGGCAAGUGUUAUAGCCUGUUGAAAUACUGCCAGCCGGGACUGAGGACUGCGACUUUUAGUCAAGGAUGCUGG